rnacentral:misc_RNA from 1 species
GAAAUGCGAUAAGUAAUGUGAAUUGCAGAAUUCAGUGAAUCAUCGAAUCUUUGAACGCACCUUGCGCUCCUUGGUAUUCCGAGGAGCAUGCCUGUUUGAGUGUCAUGGAAUUCUCAACUCUAUUUGCUUUUGUGAAUAGAGCUUGGAUUUGGAGGUUUAUUGCUGGUACUUGUGAUCGGCUCCUCUUGAAUGCAUUAGAUCGAACCUUUGCGGAUCAGCUAUCGGUGUGAUAAUUGUCUACGCCGUUGCAGUGAAGCAUAUCAAUGGGCUCGGCUUCCAAUCGUCCUUUACUGGACAAUGACUUUGACCUUUGACCUCAAAUCAGGUAGGAUUACCCGCUGAACUUAAGC